AGCCUCUAGAGGAAGGACAUUGCAAUACAAGUUCCCUUAAUCAUCCCAUGGCACUUGUCACUAGCAAGAGCCUGAUAUGGAUAUGUUAAUUUUCAACAUACCAUUUCUGCUUACCUCAGCAAGGGAGUGAACAAGCCUCAGCUGGGAUCUGCAAGCUUUGCAGGGAGGCAAGAAGCAGUUGCUUUUGGUUUUGUUUUGGCCAACAUAUCUGUGGCAUCUAUUUGCAUUUCCUCCACAGUGUGCGAUCAGAUUCAUCAGAGUCGGUGAUCAUAGAGAAGAGAAGGGCAGAAAACCUCAGGACCUAGGAACUUACCUAGCAGUGAUCCCUUUCUUAGCAGCUUAGAAACAAAGUCAAGGAACAAAGACCUAAGAAGGCAGCGAGGGUGAAACAGGAGGUGUUGGACUCGGCAUCGUGGAAGGCUGUCUGCUUGCCUUGCUGCAAACACCGCACUGCCACCCCACCCUUGGCUGUAAGCAAGAGAUUAACAAAGGUGGGAAAUAGAGGGAGAAAACAACCCAGCACAGAAAAUGCUGUGUGAGAACUGUAAGAAACAAAGGCCUGUGUAUCGGAAAAGAACUUGGAUGGUGGAAACCCCUAAGAAACGACAGAAUGAAGACCUCCUAACAUACUACCUACGUCUUCAGUAUGCAAAAAGGAGAUGCUUACAAGUGAACCAGAGCAUUGACGAUUUCCCUCUGCCUCGUUCUGACUCCAUGAUUAGAGACAUGGAAGUACUUCAGGAGUUCAUCAAGAAGUAUGAACCACGUGGAGGCCGUUUUAGCAACGAAGAAGUUGUUAUCAUCAGUGAAGACUAAAUAAAGUUCGCAAACCAAGAUCAUCAAUGUACCCUUACUGCGAUGGAGACUCAGACGAAGUAGAUGCACUUCCACAUGGUGGAGAUGACCAGUUUUAGUUACUUACAUAAAUUUGGAGAGACACACUUAAGUAGAUAAGAGAUGUA